UACGUAGGGGGCAAGCGUUGUCCGGAUUUACUGGGCGGAAAGAGCGUGUAGGCGGCCAAACGGGUCCGUUGUGAAAACUGGAGGCUUAACCUCCAGACGUCGACGGAAACCGUGUGGCUAGAGUCCGGAAGAGGAGAGUGGAAUUCCUGGUGUAGCGGUGAAAUGCGCAGAUAUCAGGAAGAACACCAACGGCGAAGGCAGCUCGCUGGGACGGAACUGACGCUGAGGCGCGAAGGCGUGGGGAGCGAACAGG
rnacentral:rRNA from 1 species